rnacentral:rRNA from 1 species
CCUACGGGAGGCAGCAGUGGGGAAUCUUGCGCAAUGGGCGAAAGCCUGACGCAGCCAUGCCGCGUGAAUGAUGAAGGUCUUAGGAUUGUAAAAUUCUUUCACCGGGGACGAUAAUGACGGUACCCGGAGAAGAAGCCCCGGCUAACUUCGUGCCAGCAGCCGCGGUAAUACGAAGGGGGCUAGCGUUGCUCGGAAUUACUGGGCGUAAAGGGAGCGUAGGCGGAUAGUUUAGUCAGAGGUGAAAGCCCAGGGCUCAACCUUGGAAUUGCCUUUGAUACUGGCUAUCUUGAGUAUGGGAGAGGUAUGCGGAACUCCGAGUGUAGAGGUGAAAUUCGUAGAUAUUCGGAAGAACACCAGUGGCGAAGGCGGCAUACUGGCCCAUUACUGACGCUGAGGCUCGAAAGCGUGGGGAGCAAACAGGAUUAGAUACCCUGGUAGUCCACGCUGUAAACGAUGAGUGCUAGUUGUCGGCAUGCAUGCAUGUCGGUGACGCAGCUACGACAUUAAGACACUCCGCCGUCGGGGAGGUACGGUCGCGAGAAGUUAAACUACGAAGAAGUAGACGGCGUGAGACGUGCCGACGGACGACGACGAGGGAGGAGG